AAUAAAGUAUUUACAUGUCCUUGAUAGCGUCUGCUGUGUUGGGUCUGUCUCAGUGACAGUCUGAAACUGCUGCUGUCUUCUACGCUGAUCAAAACAAUGGUGUCUUCUGCUCUG